UUAUUUCUUCAUUUAUAUGUAGUUACUGGGGCCACACGGUUUUUCUCACUGCAGAGAAAAGGUUACUUAGAUUCAUCUUAAUUUUUUUUUGACCUGCCAAAACAUUAAGGUGAUGGACAACAAAACAGUCUAUCACAAACUCUGUCUGGUAGACUACUAGAAAUAUUUUCUUUAGUAGCUGUGGUACAGACACUCUUGGGGAAAAGCAUUUAUAGUGGGAUAGUGUAAGUAUCCCACACUAUUUAUUUUAUUCCUUGUGGAAAUGUUGUGCAUUUAUUGCAUUCAAAUCCCUUGGAAAAAACUAAUGAAAUGGUAAUUUUAUUUUCCUCAAUGGGAAAAUAGUUUGCAGCACGUACACAUAUCAAACAAAUAGAUCAUGCACAUAUAGAGUAAACAGAACAGUCCAAGUUCAACCAUUCAGCAUAAACAAAAAUGCAAUGUGCAGUAGCAUUAAUGUAAGAAUGUUUUAUGUCUUCUACCCAUUGUAAAACUAAUAAUAUUGCCAACAUUUCUCCUGUGUAUACUGAUAAUCCAUCUGUAAUUUGUUUUCCUGUUUUCAUAUUGAAUUCUGGUACUACAAAAUCUAUUCCUAGUUAUUUUUGAUGCAUCUGUAUAAAUUUGAAUAUAUUGAUAAUAAUUAUUUAAAUGUAACUGUACUGAAUAGCUAUCUACCAUGUAAGAUUUAUCUUGUUUCUUUUCCAUUAUUGACAUAUCUGCUGUUGCUUCUGGUAGAAUCCAAGGUGGUAUAAUUGAUAUUGGUGUUGUUUGAGUCACUUCUAAACUAUUCAUUUUAGAUUCUUCAUUUUCUUUUCAAUUGUCCAUCCAAAACUCCUCAUUUCUUUCUUUUCUUUUUCCCAACAUGGAUUUAAAAUUUCCCAAGUUGGAUGAUGAAAGUUAUUGCCUUGUAAAUUUAACCAAUAAUUGAUUUCUAAUUUUGUUCUUAAAUCUAACGGCAUUUCUCCCAUUUCUACUUCUAUUGCUGCUGUGUGUUUUAGCUGCUGAACCAUAAACUAUACAACCAAAGUCUGUUAGAUCUUAUCAUUCCUGUGUAAAUCUGUUUUAGUGAUUUCCUAUCUGCUCCCCAGUCACUGCCAGCCAAGCAUCUCAAAAUAUUUAAGAUUUUCUUACAACUUUUUGAAUAUGUAUAUUCCAUUUUAAUUUUUCAUCAAACCGUAGCCCUAAAAAUUUUAUACACUUGCUCCAAUUCUUGCUUAUAUAAUUUUAAUUUUAUUUCCUUGUUAAAUUUUUUUCUGAUUAAAUAUCGUUACUUUGGUUUUUUCAACUGAAAACUUAAAUCCCCAUUGCAAUGCCCAUUUCUCUAUUUCAAUAAUAACCUUUUGUAAUUUCUUUACAAUGAAAUCUACAUUUUCCCCUCUUUUCCAAACAGCUCCAUCAUCUGCAAAACGUGAACAACCCAUUUCUUUUCCAAUAUCUUUAAAUACAUCAUUUAUCAUAAUUGACAACAGUAAAGGACUUAUAAUACUCCCUUGCGGAGUUCCAUUUUCUACUCUAUAUCACUUCACCAAUUCUAACUUGUAUUUUCCUAUUUGUUAAAAAGUCUUUAAUCCAUUUAAAUAUUUUCCCUUUAAUGCCCAAUGUGUAUAAUUUAACUAAUAAUCCCUCAACCCACAUCAUAUCAUAUGCUUUUACUAU